ACGGUCCUAAGGUAGCGAAAUUCCUUGUCGGGUAAGUUCCGACCUGCACGAAAGGCGCAACGACUUGGGCGCUGUCUCGACCAUGGACCCGGUGAAAUUGCACUGGUCGUGAAGAUGCGACUUACCCGCGGAAGGACGGAAAGACCCCGUGAACCUUCACUGCAGCUUGGCAUUGGCCGCUGGUCCCGCGUGUAGAGGAUAGGCAGGAGGCACAGAUCCGGAGGCGCCAGCCCCCGGGGAGCCGCCCUUGGAAUACUGCCCUCGCGCGACCGGCGUCCUAACCCGAGGCCGUCAACCGGCUCGGGGACCGUGCCAGGCGGGCAGUUUGACUGGGGCGGUCGCCUCCUAAAGGGUAACGGAGGCGCGCGAAGGUCCGCUCGGGACGGUCGGCAACCGUCCUUUUGAAUGCAAGAGUACAAGCGGGCUUGACUGCGAGGCCCACAAGCCGAGCAGGUGCGAAAGCAGGCUCUAGUGAUCCGGCGGCCCCGAGUGGGUGGGCCGUCGCUCAACGGAUAAAAGGUACUCCGGGGAUAACAGGCUGAUCUUGCCCAAGAGUCCACAUCGACGGCAAGGUUUGGCACCUCGAUGUCGGCUCAUCGCAUCCUGGGGCUGGAGCAGGUCCCAAGGGUACGGCUGUUCGCCGUUUAAAGCGGUACGCGAGCUGGGUUCAGAACGUCGUGAGACAGUUCGGUCCCUAUCCUCCGUGGGCGCAGGAGAAUCGAUGGAGGCUGCCCCCAGUACGAGAGGACCGGGGUGGACGCACCUCCGGUGAACCGGUUGUCGACCAACGGCACGGCCGGGUAGCCGCGUGCGGCGCGGAUAACCGCUGAAGGCAUCUAAGCGGGAAGCCGUUCCAGGGAUUAGUUCUCCUUCCGGUAAGGGCCCAGGUAGACUACCUGGUCGAUAGACGGCAGGUGCAAGGACGGCGACGUCCUCAGCCGAGCCGCACUAAUCGCCCGAGCUCUUCCGGAA
rnacentral:rRNA from 1 species